rnacentral:lncRNA from 1 species
GCCUCAUGGUGUUGGUUCGACCUAUGGGAUAGAAUUUCUUAAGAAACUCAUGCUGCAUUUCAGUCCAAGUUUGGAUUGGUCUCCCUAUUGUGCCAAGCCAGUACUUGGCUUUGUCUUUAAGUGAGAAGGAGAAUAAGGUCAAUCUAAGUACAUCAUCAGUAAAAUUUUGAAUUUUCACCGUGAAACAAAUUUCUAAGAACUCAUCCAGAUGCUUGUAAGGAUCUUCAUUAGUAUUUCUAUAGAAAGAUGGAAGUAUCUGGAUUAAGGUCGAUUUGAUCUCAUAGUGGCUUGCAGGGAUAUCAGGUAAGUGGAUACAAAUCGAUGGGUUAUAGGUGGAAGGAAUAAAAUAUUCCUUCAUCUACUUAGGUGGUUCUCUAGGAUUUUCAGCCAUCUGAUUUUCAGGUUUAAUAUGAAUCAACUGUUCAAUCUCAAGAUUGGGUUCAACUAGGUCAGGAUAGAGAGAUCUUCUACCUUGCAUAUAC